rnacentral:lncRNA from 1 species
GGGGCGGAUGGAUCGGCGCCAACGGAAAAGGCUGCUGGGUUUGGCUGGACGGCCGUCGUAUACUGAUACGGUACUACGUAGCCGGGUGUAUUCCUUGUGUAACUGCAAUUCGGCGCCUGGCGGGAGUGGAGGGUGCGUGCUUGUACAUUUUAUUAGCGGUUGUUGGCUACGAACUGGUGGGUUUGUGAGCUCACUUGAAGGGAAACAACGGCGGAUUGGUGGAGCA